UGUUGUUGUGCUGUAUUAAAACGCCCCACGUUAGAGCAUCGCUGUCUUGAUGUUGACAAGAGAAUAGGGAAAGGCACACGUGCAGAGAUGCGAAAGCUAAACCUGCAGGAAUUGGUGUGCAGGCUGUCAGGGUGGCAGUGCUGAUAUGACAACUUCCAGCUGAAUGUCAGGCUUGCAAGGGGGAAAAAUAGGAGUGCUUAUUCAUGAUGAUUUUUAGAAAUACAAUCACAGCAGCCUCUCUCUGAAGAGGGCGUCUCUCAUCGCUUCAGUUCCUUGUUCUUGCUCUAUAUUCCUUUCUCCCUGCUGCAGAGAGAAGAAAGGACUGGCGUGGGGGAUUAGAGAGCAACCAGGCUCUUCAUGUUCCAAAUGCCUUGAAAAUACUCAUCCCCCUGCAGCAGUUAUUGGGAAAUUCUUCUCUUGCUGCUCAUCUGUAGUCUACAAGCAUUACCCCAGCAGCAGCAGCUGAUGAAUUAUUUAGGUAAUUCAUUACCUGCAGCAGGAGCAUCCAGGACCUCCUAAAGGAGAAGCCUUGCUCUGAGGCUGUGCAGCCAAAGGCAAGGCGUUUAACUUGGGCUGUGCUUCAGCUUCCCUUCCUGAGGGCUGUAGGAGGGCUCCUCCUCUGCCUUGUGUGACUACAGCUAACCAACCAUCAGCUGCCAGCUCACUGCUGAGCUACAGUUCUCCCAUCCCAUCACUUCUGGUUCUCACUACACAGGGGCAAAAAUACAUAUCUGAACUCAUAAAAUCUCCUUUAUACUCCAGUGAUGAGUGCAUGCUGCGCUGCCCAGACAAACCCUCCAGAAGACAGACCACAGCUUGCCUUACAGCUUAAAAGCAGGAUGCUCUCAGGACAACUGUGCUGCAAAACAUGAGACCUGCAUUGCAGUAAGAGCCCUCUGCACUCACCUCCUGUGCCUGUCCAUGGAGGAAGCAAAUGCAGAGGACACCUGGCAUGCUGGAUACUGUCCUUUAUCCAAUGGCUUUAAAACCUCUUAACCCCAAUUUGAAUCUUUCCUGCAAGGUCUGAGUGCUGCUGAAACUGCUAAUUGCUGCUUGAACCCAUCAAGGCUAUUUGUGCUCUCCAUAGUGCUAUAUUUAAGACUUUGAGGUUAAGUAGAAAUUUUGAUGCUAUCUCUGUCAUGGCUGUGACAGACAGCCACUAUGGAAACCUUUUAUUCUGCUUACAUCCCUCCCUCAAACUGCAAUAUAUUGAUCAACGGAGACUCGUCUGAGACGAACAAAGCUAGAGCUGAGGAAUAACCAGCACAUGGCUGUUUACACUUGCUGAGCGCAAACCAUGCAGAGAUGGUUUGGAAGAAGAGGUGAGUGUUUUAAAAAGAAAGUAGAUCAAAGCUAUUUCAUCAUCUCCCUAAUUUUCUAAUUAUUAGGAUCAGAGCCACAGCUGGGGAUUUGUUACCAUUUGCCAACUCUUUUCUUUUUAUUUCAUUUAAGCAAUGAAAGUUUGCAGGCAUUUUAUUUCCUGACAUUGAAUAAAUAUGGAGGGCUUAGGAAAGGGCAGAAGGAAAUCCAGCAAGGACUUAUGCAAACAGCUUGGUGGGCUAAUUGCAGGAUUGCAUCCACUCAGCAACAGCCUUUCCUUCAGCCUGAGUCCCAGCCCACUGAAGAGUGUAAAAGAACUGCCAUUUACUUCAGCAAAUUCUGCAAGCAAGCUCCUGAAACAAUUACAAAUCAAAUAAAGUUUCACAAGAUCUAUAAAUACACAGAGGAGCACUUUUUUUUGGUGACCUGUUCUGAAUAGGGUGUGACAAUAAAAUAAUGGACAAGCAGUAUUUAAAGGUUUUCCUUUCAGAAUCAUCCAAAGGGCAGCUUUUAUUCUAAGACAUUGCAAAGAUUUUCCCCGUUGUUCAAACCUUUUGGGUCUGCCAGCCCUGAUCAUGCGUCCUCACUGCACAGGGGAGCACAAAGGGGUGGCACUGGGGAAAACCAGUUCCAAGAUAUGCAGUCAUCAAUAAAGGGGAAUAAAUCAGCUGCUCGCUGGAGACCUCUCACUAACAAAAGCAGUGUCCAGCUGAGUGUUGCCUCUGCAGAAUGCGAGCGUCUCAGCAAGUUGGCAGGCAGCAGUGAUCCCAAAGCAGCCUCAUUUUUGUUACCUUUGUACGUCAGUGCACGGUGUGAGAGCAGCACAGCAGCAGCAGGCACACUGGGGCAACUGGGACGCGCAUCUCUCGCUGCACCUGCAGGACCAAAGAGGAGAGCACAUUUCUUUAAAAACCCUCAGGAGAUAAAUACCAAUUUUCUCCUGGUCUGGUCCCUCCAGCACCCAUCCUGCCCUGCUCUUCACCCAUCAAAAGCUGUAGCUAACAAUGCCACAGGGAUAUUUUGUGUGGGCACUCCGCACUAUGCACAAACAAUCCAAGGCACACAGAGUUUAGGGACCAAUUUUCCAAAGUGCUGGGCUUUCCCAGUCUUAUUAGAAGUCAGAAUUGUAGACACUUGGCUCCUGAGGCCAGAUUUCAAGAAGCUCCACACCCACUGGUCUAGGAUUUCAAGGUGUUUGGCUUUCAACACCUUCCCUCGUCUCUGAAAUCCUGGGUUUGUGUGUGAGAUUUGAAACCUGUGCAAAAAUCAGAGCUCUGAAAUGCUAUUUACUCUGUUGAAAGACGCAGGCAGGAUGCAAGAUCUUGAAGCCCUGAUUUUUGGAACACUUACAGGAAUUCCCAUCAGAGCUAAGAGGUGUCAGAUGUCUGAAGGCUCUCAUGGGUUUCUGUAGCUGCUCUAUACACCAUCAGACACUUGAUUUCCUUGAAAAUGUGUCCCAACCUAUGAAUUGGCCAAGAAAUACCAGCCUUAGGAGACCUUUCCUGGUUUGGUGGUUUGUGCAGUGUGUGUUUAAUGUUUGGGAAUUGCUGUAGUAUUGAGUUAAUUAAGCGAAUGCAUAUUUCUCCUUCUCUCCCCAAAAAAAGUCAUUUAUCCUGACAGCUGCACUGAACUGUGGCAGGACUGAGCUAACCAAACUUCCCCUGCAAUGCACUCCAUAAUCCGUGUGGAUCCAGUUGGGUAAAUAAGCCUUGAAAUUAGCUGAGGGAGAAAUUUCGGGGGUUUAGAGCUGUUUGCACACCCAGAUUCCAGACAGCAGCACAUGAGGGUGUGAACAGGCAUCAGGAACCGGCGGUGGCCCCUGCAGCCAUCUGUCACCCUGCCUGCAUGGGUGGCAUCGGGGACAGGCUUUGUCCCUUGUCUGCACUUCAAUCACAUCAGCCUAAUUUAGUGGUCAAACGAAACAGGGUUACAAAUACCUGCAUUAUUACUUCCUCCAAACUUGAAGCCUUCCUCCUGCCCACUGAAAGCAGGCACUUUCUGCCCUGGGAUCACGCAAUCCCUCUGCAUACCAAGCACUAUUCCAAAAAGACCACUGAGGCCAAGUGAAAGAACCCCAGGUACGGAUUUCAGAAGGCUUGGGGCUGACCCCUAGGAUGCCCAGAGUAAUGGCAGGUUUACAAAAUCAAUUUUCCAUGAAAAUCCAAUUGCGUGAAAAGCCUGCUCACGAGACCAGCUGCCAAGUCAAAUACCAGUCUCCCAGCUGGAUUAGCACACUAUCUGCCAGGAAAAAAUUAAGUGACAGCACGCAUAAGAAAGUAAGAAAGUAAAAGGGGUCACACUUGUUAUGAAGAAUUUCCUGAGGCUGAACUAAAAGGCAAGAAAUAGAAUAGCACACAGCCUCUUUUGUAUUCUAAAGGAAGCACAGAAAUUCUCCAAUAAUAGGAGACUGACUGAGAAGGCGACUGAGAAGGACCACGUUCAUUUAAAGACUAAGUACAAGUAAAUAUCCACAGCAAAAGAGUAAAAUUGUGUUCACUUCUAAAUGAUGGCCAAGAUUGCAGAAGCAACUAGACAUUUUCAGGAGGAUCCACACUGAGACAUCCCAAGAGUCCAUUUCAAAGCUUGAGGAACCACCUCUUGUAAGGUUGAAAAACUACACAAAAUCCAACCAUGAAGACUCAAUAAAGGUCACAGAAGUACCCAUGUUAGUAAAGUAUGUGCUCUGCUCCAUGCAAGUAAAAUAAAGUCCUGCUUUAUUGUCUGCAGGACAAUCUCUUUUUCUUUUUUUCCCCCGGGACAUUUUAAUACCCUUCCUACAGAAGGCUCAUUCCUGGGAAUAGCGAUAUCGAUUUCAAUUUCACGAGAAGCCUGAGUUCGCACCACCCAUAAGUAUUGUGGAAGAACUGCAAGCAGAAGAGGCUGGUUAAUGGAAGAAAAAAAAAAAGCCUUCUUGUAGGCCAGUUGGGAAAUGUGAGCUGACAUUUCAGCUGGGAGGAUUACAUAGAGCCCAGUAGUUAGAGCAUUAACCUGUCUCAGCUGCUGCCUCGUAUUUAUUUAUACCAGACUCAGCAAGAUCUUUCCUUCUCAAAACCAACGCUGAUGCGAGCUACAGAACUGCAAUUCAGAAGACCCAAGGAAAACACGGAGCUCCCCAGUUCAUUUCCCCAAAAUAGAAGAGGAGAAAACCUCAGACUCCUGUGGAGCUGAACCUGCUGUGAGGACAAAGCCUGUCAAAAACCAUACCUGGACACACGGGCAUCCGCUUCCUGCUGAUCCCCUCCUGUUCCUGCAGCUCCACUGACCAGCUUGGUUCUUCUCCAUUAAUGCAGCAAUUCCCUUCUUCUUACUAGGAAAUGAAAGGGUCAAAAUGGUGUUUAACAGCUCGACUCUUGCUCCUUGGGCAUCAAAAGCAAUCACAACAGAAACAGGGAAAUGAAAGAACAGAGCCCCAGCCCCAAAGCUGUGCUUACAAACAGUUCCCAUGCUACGUAAGCGGGUACAUUGUGCUGUGCAAAACUCCAUCUCACAUUUAGCAAUACAGGAAAAAAAAAAUCAGGAGCUCUUGAACAGGAAUUUGUUUAAAAAAAAUAAAAUAAAAUAAAUAAAAUGUACAAUUGAUGGAAGCUCUUCUUUCUCUACAAGAUCUCUAUUAGCCAGGAAAAAAGAAAAUCUCUGCUGCAACAACUGCAUCCAGGUAGGGUAAUGGAUAUUCUGGAAAAUGCUUCACUUGAAGCAAAGGGUAGCUCUUACUUCGUAACGGUGGUUCGGUCUUCUCGUUCCAGAAAGCAGCCUUUGCACCGUCCUCUUCACCUGAGGCCUCGUCACAAUACAGCAGCCACUUGGGUAAAUACCUGCUUAUUCCAAAGGCACACACCCUAACGUGAACUUCUAGGAAAUAAAUAAAUACAUCCACACUUCUGAUUUCACCAAAGCUGAUUCUGAAAUUCAGCUUCAGCUUCUCUCAGAAUUAAAUGUGAGCCCACGUGGGGUUAAAUCUGUUUCUUUUUUGUAGCCCUGUAUCAAAACCCCACUGAAUUUGUAACAGCUUCAAGUGAAUAUUUGGAGAAAGAUCAGCUGUAAGAAUCAGGGACUGUGACAGCACUUUUUCACACCACCAGAGGACUAAGAUGAAGUAAGAGCUACAUUCAUAGCUACCCCAUAUUGCACAAAUCCAAGAUUUCUUUAAAAUAUUUGCCAUCUCUUUGCCAAUGAACAAAGAUAGUAGAGGACCACAGUAGUUUUGUUCCUUUUUUUUUUAAAUAUUGCUUGCAA